UACAGAGGGGGCGAGCGUUGUUCGGAAUUACUGGGCGUAAAGGGCGCGUAGGCGGCCUUCUAAGUCGAACGUGAAAUCCCCGGGCUCAACCCGGGAACUGCGUCCGAUACUGGGAGGCUUGAAUCCGGGAGAGGGAUGUGGAAUUCCAGGUGUAGCGGUGAAAUGCGUAGAUAUCUGGAGGAACACCCGGUGGCGAAGGCGGCAUCCUGGACCGGUAUUGACGCUGAGGCGCGAAAGCCAGGGGAGCAAACGGG
rnacentral:rRNA from 1 species